UCAGAGCAGUCGAUCAUCAACCCAACCCAUUCACAGAAGGGGCGACAUGGUGCCAGAGUGAUAGGAAAGGGCUACCUACGAUUAGACAUAAACCUUGGAACAGAGUGAAAGCUACUCAGAAAAUGCUACCUGAUCCGGAGUGGACCGUCGUGGACCAUCAUGGAUGUCGAGUUCAAAAGUAUGAUGGCAUCUUACAAUCCCAUAUUAACCUAUGGGGAUUAGCAAAGUAAGAACCCCACAUAGAAAAGGCUGCCUGAUUUGAAUCACCAUGGAAGUCUAUUUCCUAUGAAAAUUGAUGUGGAUUGAUAGUCUUAAGCCCCUCACCUUCACCUUGUAAACCAAUUUAUGGGGGUUGAGUUUUUCCAUAACAAUCUCUUUCCCAAGAAGUCUGCCGCAGUUCUCCGCUCCCAGUUACGAUGUUGGUUUGUGCUUUAUGGCAUUUCCACUAUCAAACUAAUCCAAUCCCGCAAAGGAUUGUUCAUGGAACCCCUCAACUGCCUUGGAUCGCCUUGCGGACUUGACAACUAUGCUUGGAAAUUUGAACUCAUCCUAAUUGUCACAAUUGGAUUCAACUGGGUGAUGUAAUCAAAGAAGGGCAGACAAUUGGUUUUUUGGAUCAGUUUUGCAGUGAACUUCCAGUGAAGGUGAGUCCACCCAGUUGGUUGUCUCAUGUAGUUGCAGUUCUAUUCAGAAGUAUGUGUUUCUUACAGUUCUCACUCAUAAUUCUUGGAGCAGUCAGAUGUUACCGGAGAAGUUUUGAAGCUCCUAUACAAUGAUGGUGGUGAGACUUUGAGUGACAUCUCAAAUGCUUAUCCAUGCUCUGAUGUUUUUGUCUUCCACUUCAUCUAUCUAAUACAGGGGAAUAUGAGGCCUGAUUCCUACGUGCCACAAAUACAUUCUAGACAGUUUAGUUAUAGGUGGUUCUAAUGCGAUGGCAAGACCCCUCCCACUAUAAUCCUUCUUAAGAUAUAUUCCAAAUUUCAACCUGUUUAAAAUGCCAAGUGAGUUCCCCUUCCCUAACAGUUCUACAUGGUUCUUCAUAGAGGAACCCAUUUUUGGUUGGCGUUUAUUCUCUAUGACAAGGUCUUUGAUCCUUCUCUAAAACCAAGCCAUCGUAUGACAUUUCACAGGCAAUAUAAAUAAUAAAUUUUCCAUUGCCUUCCUUAAAUCUUACUACUAAUUCUCUUCUUAAACUUUCAAUUUGCAGAAGCAGUUGGUUAUGGAGACCCCCCUUGUCACUGUUUUGAAAUCAUUUCAUGCAUGUUAUUAAUAUUAAGCUUCAUCCUCAAAUCUGUGUUGAUUGACUCUUUCUGUCUCUCAUCCAUGAAAACUGCACAGGCUUCCAAUGUGUUUCAAUUGUCGUAAUUUUCCCUGUUGGCAUUAAGCCGUAGGAAACAGAAAAGCAGGUGAUACUUACUGGCUGUUGAUACUGUUAAUGAACUAUUGUGGGGAGAAUAACUAGGUUGAAGAUUAUGAGAACUGUUACCCCCUUGGCGUCAUGAUUUGUAUCUUUAAUGGAUCCAGUUUCAAUGCCUGUUGGCUUUAUUUUUUCUUCUAAAA